ACGCUCGACACCUACGGGAGGCAGCAGUGAGGAAUAUUGGUCAAUGGGCGCAGGCCUGAACCAGCCAAGUAGCGUGAAGGAUGACUGCCCUAUGGGUUGUAAACUUCUUUUAAUAUGGGAAUAAAGUUUUCCACGUGUGGAAUUUUGUAUGUACCAUAUGAAUAAGGAUCGGCUAACUCCGGUACCAGCAGCCGCGGUAACUGAGCGGGCUGGCAAGGC
rnacentral:rRNA from 1 species